rnacentral:lncRNA from 1 species
UUAGUUUUUAGUGUGAAGUUUCACUUCACACUAUUGUGAUGGCUGGCGAAUUCACACGAAUCAGUCAAACAGUCAGUCAUAGAGUAAACUUUCCGGGGGGUGUAUACGAUUUAUGUUCGUAGUGAUUUAUUGUACUUAGUCAGUACUUUGAAGGUUAUUUAGGCAAUUUCAGUUAACUUAUUUACAUAUUCUGUUAUCCUUUUGCCAAGUUCACAAAAAUUUCGAGCAAUCGCUUUCGUUAUUGCAUUUUUUUGUAAAUUUUAGAACAUUCGCUUCUCAUGUUGUGUAAAGGAUCUUUACCCCGGAACACCCGAUUUUUCUUUAGUAGCGCAAAUGCGCAUGCGCUAUCAAGCCGUAGAUCACGAUGGCGUGACGAUAUGCUAGGAAGGAGUGACAGUGUUGUUUUCAGAUGUAUAAA